CGACAGGCAUUUUCGUCCAAGAUUGACUGAGAUAUGAGUGUUUACACUUUUGUUAGCAAAUUUGAAACGGUCACAAAUUAGCUAAAAACGGCCUAUUAAACUGAUUUUUAGCUAAUUUGUGACUGUUUCAAAAUUGUUAACAAAAGUUUAAACUCUUAUAUCUCAGUUAAUCUUGGACGAAUAUGCCUGUCA